CCCUUAGAUGUUCUGGGAUGCACGCGCGUUACACUGAUUCGUUCAACGAGUUUAUGACCUUGCCUGAUGAGGUGGGGGAAUCUUUUCAAAUCGCAUCGUGAUGGGGAUAGAGUAUUGUAACUGCUAGUCUUCAACGAGGAAUUCCUAGUAAGUACGUGUCAUCAGCUCGUACUGAUUAUGUCCCUGCCCUUUGUACACACCGCCCGUCGCUCCUACCGAUUGAGUGCUCAGGUGAAUAGUAUGGACUGCAUCAGUGUUCGGUCUCCGAAUGUUGACGCGAGAAAUUCUGUGAAUCUUAUUGCUUAGAGGAAGGAGAAGUCGUAACA
rnacentral:rRNA from 1 species